AGUUAUAAAGCUCGUAGUUGGAUUUCGGAACCGGCCGAUUGGUCCGUCCUCUGGAUCGUGUACUGAUCGGUCUGUUCUUCUUCGCGAAGACCGCGUGUGCUCUAACUGAGUGGGCGUGGGAUUCGCGACGUUUACUUUGAAAAAAUUAGAGUGUUCAAAGUAGGCAGUCGCUUGAAUAUCUCAGCAUGGAAUAAUAGAAUAGGACUUUGGUCUUAUUUUGUUGGUUUCCGAGACCGAAGUAAUGAUUAAUAGGGACAGUUGGGGGCAUUCGUAUUUCAUUGUCAGAGGUGAAAUUCUUGGAUUUAUGAAAGACGAACUUCUGCGAAAGCAUUUGCCAAGGAUGUUUUCAUUAAUCAAGAACGAAAGUUGGAGGCUCGAAGACGAUCAGAUACCGUCCUAGUUCCAACCAUAAACGAUGCCGUCUGCGGAUCGGAGGUCGCUCAUGUAAGGCUCCUUCGGCACGCUAUGAGAAAUCAAAGACUUCGGGUUCCGGGGGGAGUAUGUUCGCAAGAAUGAAACUUAAAGGAAUUGACGGAAAGGCACCACCAGGAGUGGAACCUGCGGUUUAAUUUGACUCAACACGGGAAAACUCACCAGGUCCAGACAUAGGAAGGAU
rnacentral:rRNA from 1 species